UCUGAACAGGCAAUUUCUGAGGUAACAGCAGAAACAUUUUUUUUUUUAUCAGGGAUCUUAUGUUUAAAAAACUUAUAUUAUAGGUAGUGGGCUGUUUUAGGGAAUUUUUGAUCAAAUUAUCCGUAGUAGCAAUAUUAAUAAUGUUGUGUUUAUUCUGCGUAGUGGACUUAAAAUAAUUAUGACCAUAUCUGUUUGCUUGGUGCUUUGAUAAACUGAACGCAUAUACAUGGUACUAUAUUGUGAUGUUAUGAGCCAGGGGAAAAAAGAACUACCCUACCCAGCAUGCAACAGGAGUGACGAGCAUGCGCGGUAGCCCGGGAUAGGUUGUGUCGCCAUGACGGCAUCUUGUAUGUUGUGAUAUGCAGGCUCUGAAAGUAAAUGUUAAGAACUCAGCCAACACUCCUUGUCUGCAUUAUUGAUAAAUAGACGGACAACACAUAUACUCCGCUGCUUCACAAAGCACAAUAUGUUAAAUGUUUACUUUUACAGUUUUCUAAUUCUUCCUUUCAGAUUGACAGCAGGACAAAUCGCUGGAAGUAGGUAUGUCUCAAGCUUCUUCCACUUGGUCCACUCCAAAGCGGGCUGCAAAGGGGAAGAAGUGGAAGCAGUUGAAUGACACAUGUUGCAUUUUGUAACUGGCAACAAAGUACCAGGUAAAAAAGAUUGUGAAGCCUGCCUCCAUAAAGAACUAGUAGCUCUACAGGACAGAGAUUGGCUUGCCAUCAAGUACUACAUCCAUAACAGAAUUAUAUUAAAAAAAGGGGAAAAAAAUGUUUUCCCACAUCUUCUGUGGUAGUUUGAGUAUGUUACCAGCAAUUAAAAAAGCAAAAUAAA